CGAUGUGGGGACGGAGAAGGUUAGGUCUACCAGGCGUUGGUUGUCCUGGGGAAGGGAGGUAGGCGGUGAUCUUAGGCAAAUCCGGGAUCACUUACGCCGAGCACCGAGACGAGUCCUAUGAGGACGAAGUGACUGACACCACGCUUCCAGGAAAAGCCACUAAGCUUCAGCUUAAGAAAAACCGUACCGCAAACCGACACAGGUAGGCAGGGUGAGAAUCCCAAGGCGCUUGAGAGAACUCGGGUGAAGGAACUAGGCAAAAUGGCACCGUAACUUCGGGAGAAGGUGCGCCCUUUGGUGUGGUCACGUGCGUGACUGAGCAUCGAAGGGUCGCAGUAACCUGGCCGCUGCGACUGUUUAUCAAAAACACAGCACUCUGCAAACACGAAAGUGGACGUAUAGGGUGUGACGCCUGCCCGGUGCUGGAAGGUUAAUUGAUGGGGUCAGCCGCAAGGCGAAGCUCUUGAUCGAAGCCCCAGUAAACGGCGGCCGUAACUAUAACGGUCCUAAGGUAGCGAAAUUCCUUGUCGGGUAAGUUCCGACCUGCACGAAUGGCGUAACGACAGCGGCGCUGUCUCCACCCGAGGCUCAGUGAAAUUGAAAUCGCUGUGAAGAUGCAGCGUUCCCGCGGCAAGACGGAAGGACCCCGUGAACCUUUACUAUAGCUUUACACUGAACGUUGAGUUCUUCUGUGUAGGAUAGGUGGGAGGCUAUGAAACCAGGACGCUAGUUCUGGUGGAGCCAUCCUUGAAAUACCACCCUGAAGUGCUUGACGUUCUAACCUAGGCCCGUAAUCCGGGUCAGGGACCGUGUAUGGUGGGUAGUUUGACUGGGGCGGUCUCCUCCCAAAGAGUAACGGAGGAGCACGAAGGUACGCUCAGCGCGGUCGGACAUCGCGCACUGUGUGCAAAGGCAUAAGCGUGCUUGACUGCGAGAUCGACGGAUCAAGCAGGUACGAAAGUAGGUCUUAGUGAUCCGGUGGUUCUGUAUGGAAGGGCCAUCGCUCAACGGAUAAAAGGUACUCCGGGGAUAACAGGCUGAUACCGCCCAAGAGUUCAUAUCGACGGCGGUGUUUGGCACCUCGAUGUCGGCUCAUCACAUCCUGGGGCUGUAGCCGGUCCCAAGGGUAUGGCUGUUCGCCAUUUAAAGUGGUACGCGAGCUGGGUUCAGAACGUCGUGAGACAGUUCGGUCCCUAUCUGUCGUGGGCGUUGGAGAUUUGAGGGGGGCUGCUCCUAGUACGAGAGGACCGGAGUGGACGUUCCGCUGGUGUUCGGGUUGUCAUGCCCAUGGCAUUGCCCGGUGGCUACGAACGGAAGUGAUAACCGCUGAAAGCAUCUAAGCGGGAAGCACGCCCCAAGAUGAGAUCUCCCGAGAGCUUGACUCUCCUAAAGGCACCAUCAAGACUAGGUGGUUGAUAGGUCAGGUGUGGAAGCGCAGCAAUGCGUUGAGCUAACUGAUACUAAUGAGCCGUGAGGCUUGACC
rnacentral:rRNA from 1 species